GAUGAAGAACGUAGCGAAAUGCGAUAAGUAAUGUGAAUUGCAGAAUUCAGUGAAUCAUCGAAUCUUUGAAUGCACAUUGCGCCCGCUAGUAUUCUGGCGGGCAUGCCUGUUCGAGCGUCAUUUCAACCAUCAAGCUCCUUAGCUUGUGUUGGGGACCUGCGGCUGCCGCAGCCCCCGAAAUGCAGUGGCGGGCUCGUUGUCACACCGAGUGCAGUAAUCAUUCUUCUCUCCGGGCGUGGCGGCGGGUUCCGGCCGUAAAAUCACCAAUUUAUCAAGGUUGACCUCGGAUCAGGUAGGAAUACCCGCUGAACUUAAGCAUAUCAAUAAGCGGAGGA
rnacentral:misc_RNA from 1 species